rnacentral:misc_RNA from 1 species
CAGGGAAUCACCAAGCCUGCGAUUCGUCGGCUGGCUCGUAGAGGUGGCGUGAAGAGGAUCAGUGGAUUGAUUUACGAGGAGACUCGCGGAGUUCUGAAGAUUUUCUUGGAGAAUGUGAUCCGUGAUGCUGUGACCUACACUGAGCACGCGAGAAGAAAGACGGUGACUGCUAUGGAUGUGGUGUAUGCAUUGAAGAGGCAGGGAAGGACUCUAUAUGGGUUUGGUGGUUAAAGUUUAAAGCUUUUUGGUGUAAUUAGUGAAUUAGAUGCUGUAUUUUGGGGAUUAUGAGUGUUAUGG